GGAUGUGAGGGCGAUCUGGCUGUGACAUCUGUCACCCCAUUGAUCGCCAGUGUUGAUUCGGCUGAUCUGGCUGGCUAGGCGGGUGUCCCUUCCUCCCUCACCGCUCCAUGUGCGUCCCUCCCGAAGCUGCAUGCUCGGUCGAAGAGGACGACCUUCCCCGAUAGAGGAGAGGACCGUUCUUUGGUCAAGGGUAUACGAGUAGCUGCGCUCCCCUGCUAGAACCUCCAAACAAGCUCUCAAAUAAGCCAUUCAUACUUUGGCCAUUUUCUGCUUGAAAUCACCACCCUGAAAUCAAGAGCUGCAUGCUCUACUGACCAAGCCAGCCAGG
ensembl:misc_RNA 7SK 7SK RNA